rnacentral:lncRNA from 1 species
UCUUUAGUACAGAACCUGCUAAGGCCAUCAAACCUAUUGAUCGGAAGUCAGUCCAUCAGAUUUGCUCUGGGCAGGUGGUACUGAGUCUAAGCACUGGAUGAAGAAGAUAGUAGAAAACAGUCUGGAUGCUGGUGCCACUAAUGUGAUCUAAAGCUUAAGGACUAUGGAAUGGAUCUCAUUGAAGUUUCAGGCAAUGGAUGUGGGGUAGAAGAAGAAAACUUCGAAGGCUUAACUCUGAAACAUCACACAUCUAAGAUUCAAGAGUUUGCCGACCUAACUCGGGUUGAAACUUUUGGCUUUCGGGGGAAAGCUCUGAGCUCACUUUGUGCACAGUGAUGUCACCAUUUCUACCUGCCACGUAUCGGCGAAGGUUGGGACUCGACUGGUGUUUGAUCACGAUGGGAAAAUCAUCCAGAAAACCCCCUACCCCCACCCCAGAGGGACCACAGUCAGCGUGAAGCAGUUAUUUUCUACGCUACCUGUGCGCCAUAAGGAAUUUCAAAGGAAUAUUAAGA